rnacentral:rRNA from 1 species
AUACGUAGGGGGCGAGCGUUGUCCGGAAUGAUUGGGCGUAAAGGGCGCGUAGGCGGCCCGGUAAGUCUGGAGUGAAAGUCCUGUUUUUAAGAUGGGAAUUGCUUUGGAUACUGUCGGGCUUGAGUGCAGGAGAGGUAAGUGGAAUUCCCAGUGUAGCGGUGAAAUGCGUAGAGAUUGGGAGGAACACCAGUGGCGAAGGCGCCUUUCUGGACUGUGUCUGCCGCUCAGAUGCGAAAGCCAGGGUGGCGAACGGGAUUAGAUACCCCGGUAGUCCUGGCCGUAAACGAUGGGUACUAGGUGUGGGAGGUAUCGACUCCUUCCGUGCCGGAGUUAACGAAAUAAGUACCCCGCCUGGGGAGUACGGCCGCAAGGCUUAAACUCAAAUGAAUUUACGGGG